CACCUGGUUGAUCCUGCCAGUAGUCAUAUGCUUGUCUCAAAGAUUAAGCCAUGCAUGUCUAAGUAUAAGCUUUAAACGGCGAAACUGCGAAUGGCUCAUUAAAACAGUUAUAGUUUAUUUGGUGAUCGAUUACUAUUUGGAUAACCGUAGUAAUUCUAGAGCUAAUACAUGCGUCAAGGCCCG
rnacentral:ncRNA from 1 species